AGAGUUUGAUCCUGGCUCAGGAUGAACGCUAGCGGCAGGCCUAACACAUGCAAGUCGAGGGGCAGCACGGGUAGCAAUACUUGGUGGCGACCGGCGCACGGGUGAGUAACGCGUAUGCAACCUACCUUUUACCGGGGGAUAGCUCGUCGAAAGGCGAAUUAAUACCCCAUAACACAGGGAUACCGCAUGGUAAUAUUUGUUAAAACUCCGGUGGUAAAAGAUGGGCAUGCGUGACAUUAGCUAGUUGGUAGGGUAACGGCCUACCAAGGCGACGAUGUCUAAGGGGUCUGAGAGGAUGAUCCCUCACACUGGUACUGAGACACGGACCAGACUCCUACGGGAGGCAGCACUGAGGAAUAUUGGUCAAUGGGGGCAACCCUGAACCAGCCAUGCCGCGUGAAGGAAGACGGCCCUAAGGGUUGUAAACUUCUUUUGUACGGGGGUAAACUCUUCUACGUGUAGGAGAUUGAAAGUACUGUACGAAUAAGCAUCGGCUAACUCCGUGCCAGCAGCCGCGGUAAUACGGAGGAUGCAAGCGUUAUCCGGAUUUAUUGGGUUUAAAGGGUGCGUAGGCGGACCUAUAAGUCAGCGGUGAAAGACUGUCGCUCAACGAUAGCAUUGCCGUUGAUACUGUAGAUCUUGAGUACAUUUGAGGUGGGCGGAAUGUGUAGUGUAGCGGUGAAAUGCUUAGAUAUUACACAGAACACCAAUUGCGAAGGCAGCUCACUAAACUGUAACUGACGCUGAGGCACGAAAGCGUGGGGAUCAAACAGGAUUAGAUACCCUGGUAGUCCACGCCGUAAACUAUGAUCACUGGAUGUUAGCGAUACACAGCUAGCGUCUGAGUAAAAGCAUUAAGUGAUCCACCUGGGGAGUACGUCGGCAACGAUGAAACUCAAAGGAAUUGACGGGGGCCCGCACAAGCGGAGGAACAUGUGGUUUAAUUCGAUGAUACGCGAGGAACCUUACCUGGGCUCGAACGCAGAGGGAAUAUAGGUGAAAGCUUAUAGCCAGCAAUGGCCGUCUGCGAGGUGCUGCAUGGUUGUCGUCAGCUCGUGCCGUGAGGUGUCGGCUUAAGUGCCAUAACGAGCGCAACCCUUAUCAUUAGUUGCCAGCGGGUUAAGCCGGGGACUCUAAUGAAACUGCCAGCGUAAGCUGUGAGGAAGGCGGGGAUGACGUCAAAUCAGCACGGCCCUUACGUCCAGGGCUACACACGUGUUACAAUGGAUGGUACAGAGGGCAGCUACUUCGCGAGAAGAUGCUAAUCUCCAAAGCCAUUCUCAGUUCGGAUCGGAGUCUGCAACUCGACUCCGUGAAGCUGGAUUCGCUAGUAAUCGCAUAUCAGCCACGAUGCGGUGAAUACGUUCCCGGGCCUUGUACACACCGCCCGUCAAGCCAUGGGAGCUGGGGGUACCUGAAGUAUGCAACCGCAAGGAGCGUCCUAGGGUAAAACUGGUGACUGGGGCUAAGUCGUAACAAGGUA
rnacentral:rRNA from 1 species